CCGGAAGUGAAUUCCUCUGCUGGUCAGACCCAGAUCGCCUGUCUCUAAAGGAUGGCCAAAAAGCAGGGAAGAGUGUGCCUGAAGCUGGCCUGUGGCAACUCUGCACCGAGCAACAGGGACCACCCAGGACAGGAAUUCCAGACUUACAAAGGAAGGAAGAGUCAGUGAAGAAUGUAUACACCGGGGUGGCAUUUCCUAUUUCUACUGCCAGCACCCUAUGAGAAACUCUCAAAAACAUCCACAUGGCUUAACUACAAUAACCUUCAUAAAAUGGACAAGUCAUUUAAUGAGAUUCCAGCAAAGAACAAAUUCAAGAGAAUACUAAUAAUGCUUCAAGUACAAUUCAACAAUAUGAAAAUGGCAACACUGGCCCCUGUCCAGCUCUUAGUAUGGGUUCUUGGUCAGCCCCAUCACAAAGCAACCACAAAGACAAUUUAAAACCGAGUCACCUGAAUAUCUUCCAAAAGAUCGAGAAUAUUACUAGACAUAUGGAUUUAUACACAAUACCAUUAUCAAUGAACCUCACCCUAAAUGUACAUUGUGCCUUGAGAUCUUACUAAUGAUGGAAGUCAUCUCAAUUAACAAGACGCUUAGAAAACAAGCAUUUGUUGUCAAAAAAUGUCACCUAUGAAAACUGAUAGUGGUAGACUUUAAAAACAUGAAAACAGAAUUUUAAAAUGUUACAAAAGAAGAAUAUCAUUGGGUUUUGAACCUGCUUGCUAAAAAUUUAAAAAUGCAACUUUCUGAUUCGUUGCAAAAGCAAACACAAGAUGAUGAAAAUUUACUUGUUAAAUCACAACAAAAAUUUUUGCAUAAUUGGUGGACAGGACUGAAAAAUGGAUAUCAUCAUUUAUUCACUGCAGCCAAUAACGCACUUCUCCCAUUUGGGUCGACGCGUCUUUGUGAGGUUUCUUUUUCAGACACAACAGCCAUCAAAAUCAGGUUUAAAAAUAAACAAUCUAUGGGCAGCUAGGUGGCAGUGGAUAGAGCGCUGGCCCUUUAGUCA